rnacentral:rRNA from 1 species
AACGAACGCUGGCGGCAGGCUUAACACAUGCAAGUCGAACGAUGUAGCAAUACAUAGUGGCGCACGGGUGAGUAACGCGUGGGAAUAUACCUUAUAGUGGGGAAUAACUUUGGGAAACUAAAGCUAAUACCGCAUACGCCCGAGAGGGGAAAGAUUUAUCGCUAUAAGAUUAGCCCGCGUGAGAUUAGGUAGUUGGUGGGGUAAUGGCCUACCAAGCCUACGAUCUCUAGCUGGUCUGAGAGGAUGAUCAGCCACACUGGAACUGAGACACGGUCCAGACUCCUACGGGAGGCAGCAGUGGGGAAUAUUGGGCAAUGGACGAAAGUCUGACCCAGCCAUGCCGCGUGAAUGAUGAAGGCCUUAGGGUUGUAAAGUUCUUUCGCCGAUGAAGAUAAUGACGGUAGUCGGAGAAGAAGCCCCGGCUAAACUUCGUGCCAGCAGCCGCGGUAAU